UACGUAGGGUGCGAGCGUUAAUCGGAAUUACUGGGCGUAAAGUGUGCGCAGGCGGCCGCGCAAGUCGAGUGUGAAAUCCCCGAGCUUAACUUGGGAAUUGCGCUCGAAACUACGUGGCUGGAGUGUGGCAGAGGAAGGUGGAAUUCCACGUGUAGCGGUGAAAUGCGUAGAGAUGUGGAGGAACACCAGUGGCGAAGGCGGCUUUCUGGUCUGUAACUGACGCUGAGGCGCGAAAGCGUGGGGAGCAAACAGG
rnacentral:rRNA from 1 species